rnacentral:lncRNA from 10 species
CACAGGUAUACCUGAUGCUGCCAAUUACUGAGCUUUUUGAAGAUUCUGUGGUUUGAAGCCAGCUUAGGACUCAGCUUUUUUGGCUUGUCCAUCUGCUUUCCAGCUUCCAAAAUUUUGUUGCUCCUUAUCAUCUUUCCUAUACUGCCUGCAGCGGUAGAAAACCCUUCAAGUCUCAUAUCUUUGGCAUGGAACAGGCUCCACUGAAGAGGGGCAUCUCCAGAAGAGGCAAGACCAGAGACCAGAGGGUUUAAGUGGAAGUACCGAGAUCCCAUCUCCUAUAUACUGAUGAAUUAUGAGACAGUACAUACCCUUUUUAAAGGGGAGGGGCUUAAAAAUGUUUUAGUAUUAAAAUGUGAAUUUUACAAGUAAUUAAAAUUUUCCCCUCAGGGAACUCUUGGCAGAAUAAAA